AGACUGGUUAAUGAUAACAAUGCAUCAUAAAACCUUCAGAAAGAAGGAAAAUGUUUUGUGGACCAUUUUGUUUUUUUGUGUGUGGCAAUUUUAAGUUAUUAGAUUUUAAAAUCAGU
rnacentral:pre_miRNA from 1 species